CGUAUUUUCCCACCCUCUUUUUCUCUUCCCACGUUCUUUUAUAUCGAAAUCAACCCCCAAAAUCUAUUUCUUUUAUCUCUUUUCUUCUUUCCCCCAAAAAAUUAGGGUUUUAACAAUCAAAACACAAUAAACAAACAAAUUAAUCGAAUGGUGAUUUGUCGUUGUGGGAGAAACGCAAUUGUUCGAACUUGGUGGACAGAUAAUAACCCUGGAAGUCGAUUUUAUUCAUGUCCAGAACAGCGUUCAAAUUGUAGAUUCAUAGGUUGGGUCAAUCCGCCUAUGUGUCCUCGUUCAGAGGUUAUCAUACCUGGGUUGUUGCGAUCGAAGAAUGUUGUUGAUGCCAAAUUAAAAUCAAGAGAAAUGGAACUUACAAGAUUCAAGAUGUAUUUGGCUGUUAGUUGGCUCUUUUUCAUUGUUGUGUUUAUUGUACUCAUAGGGUAGAUUUGGCUAUUCAAGAUGUAUUCGAUUUGCCGUUCAAAAAAAAAGAUGUAUUUGAUUUGGCUAUUCAAGAUUCAAGAUGUAUUUGGUUGUUUGUGAAGUAGUGUUUUCACCAGACAUGUACUCUUUUGUUUAUUAAGUAGAAGACAAUUUAACAUGUU